rnacentral:rRNA from 1 species
AGAGUUUGAUCCUGGCUCAGGAUGAACGCUAGCGGGAGGCUUAAUACAUGCAAGUCGAGGGGUAACAGGGGGCUUCGGCCCUGCUGACGACCGGCGCACGGGUGAGUAACGCGUACGCAAUCUACCUUCAAGAGGGGGAUAGCCCUGGGAAACCGGGAUUAAUACCCCAUAGAAUCAUAAUGCCGCCUGGUAUAAUGAUUAAAGCUUCGGCGCUUGGAGAUGAGCGUGCGUCCCAUUAGCUAGUUGGUAAGGUAACGGCUUACCAAGGCGACGAUGGGUAGGGGGCGUGAGAGCGUGGCCCCCCACACGGGUACUGAGACACGGACCCGACUCCUACGGGAGGCAGCAGUAAGGAAUAUUGGACAAUGGGCGAAAGCCUGAUCCAGCCAUCCCGCGUGCAGGAUGACGGCCCUACGGGUUGUAAACUGCCUUUGCGAGGGAAGAACCGAAGCUAUUUAUGGCUUUUUGACGGUACCUCGAGAAUAAGCACCGGCUAACUCCGUGCCAGCAGCCGCGGUAAUACGGAGGGUGCAAGCGUUAUCCGGAAUCACUGGGUUUAAAGGGUGCGUAGGUGGCAUGAUAAGUCAGAGGUGAAAGGCUGCAGCUUAACUGUGGAAUUGCCUUUGAAACUGUUGUGCUUGAAUCGAGUUGAGGUAAGCGGAAUGUGGCAUGUAGCGGUGAAAUGCAUAGAUAUGCCAUA